AAAUAUUAAAAUAUUAAAAACCCUACAUAUCUUACUAUAUCUACUAUGUAGUUGGCCGAUGCAUGAACAGAAGAAAACCUACACCAAUCGUACACCAUAAGCGGCGCCUCAUCAUUUAUCAUCUUUCAUUCUCAGCAUAUCUCUUAUUUUCCUCUAAGCUACUCUCAAACCAUCAGGUAUUUCUCAGAUAUCAUAAUAUCAUAAAA
rnacentral:lncRNA from 1 species